UGCGAGACCGAUAGCGAACAAGUACCGUGAGGGAAAGAUGAAAAGAACUUUGAAAAGAGAGUUAAAGAGUACCUGAAACUGCUGAAAGGGAAUCGAAUCGUUUCCAGUGUCUAUAAUCUGUGGCAUAUUUCAUUGGCGAGUGUGUGCGUGCAUUGUUUUGGAAGCAGUUUUCUGUUCCUGGCUGUGUUGUGCAUUUGCUUGCUGGUGCCCUGUGUCGCGGUGGGACGUCAGAGUCAAUUCGUAAGUUGCGGGAAAUGGCUAUUGGGGAGGUAGGUCACUUCGGUGGCUGUUAUAUCCUGAUAGCUAGUAGUCGUGGCUGGGAUUGAGGUGCCUACAACGUGCUUUCGAGUGUCUGGGUGUCUCGUUUGGUAAGUUAUCUCGACAGCUUGCUGUGUUGGUGAUAUUAUCGAGCGAUUGAUGUCUGGUCUAACUUGUUGCUGUUCGGGACUUUGAA
rnacentral:rRNA from 2 species